rnacentral:rRNA from 1 species
UUCCGUAGGUGAACCUGCGGAAGGAUCAUUAUCGAGAGAGGGGCUUCGCGCCCCCGGGGGUCUCGGCCCUCAACUCUUCACCCUUUGCGUACCUACCUUUGUUGCUUUGGCGGGCCCGAGAACCCUCUCGCGCUAACUGUUUGGCCGGCGAGUGUCCGUCAGAGGCCCAUUUAUUUCUAUUUAUCAGCGAAGUCCGAGUUAAAACAAUGAAUAAAAACUUUCAACAACGGAUCUCUUGGUUCCAGCAUCGAUGAAGAACGCAGCGAAAUGCGAUAAGUAAUGUGAAUUGCAGAAUUCAGUGAAUCAUCGAAUCUUUGAACGCACAUUGCGCCCCUCGGCAUUCCGGGGGGCAUGCCUGUUCGAGCGUCAUUGCACCCCUCAAGCGCAGCUUGGUAUUGGGAUUUCGCCCCCGCGGCGUGCCUGAAAAACAGUGGCGGUCCGGCGUGACUUCAAGCGUAGUAAUAUCUUCCCGCUCUGAUAGUACUCGUCGCGACCGGCCAGAGAACCCCAUUUGCUUCUAUAAUUGACCUCGGAUCAGGUAGGGAUACCCGCUGAACUUAAGCAUAUCAAUAAGCGGAGGAAAAGAAA